rnacentral:lncRNA from 1 species
UUUUUUUUUUUUUCUUUUUAGGGCCAUACCUGUGGCAUAUGAAGUUCCCAGGUGCUAGGAGUCAAAACAAAGCUGCAGCUGCCAGCCUAUGCCACAGCCAUGGCAAUACGGGAUCCGAGCCGCAUCUGCAACCUACACCUCAGCUCAUGGCAACUCCAGAUCCUUAACCCACUGAGCAAGGCCAUGGGUCAAACCUGCAUCCUCAUGGAUACGAGUUGGGUUCAUAACCCACUGAGCCACAAGAGGAACUCCUCCUUCAGAUCCCUUUUACCUGCAAUCUCUCUGUGCCCUGUGCCCUGCCGGCGCCUCGAGUUUCUGUAAGCUUUGCCCAUAACUGUGAAUUUUUUAGGGGAUGCCAAAGGCUAUGGGGGCUGCUUUUCCACAUGGAACAAAAGCAACAAGAAGUUCCAAGUGUUUAUGCCCCUCCCAACAGGCUCUCAGACAGUGAGCAACCAGAAGGGGAAUAUAAAAAUCUAAUUCUUUUGCCACAAGCUGGGGGAAGCUCUGAGACAUGAUUUAUACUCCAGGGCUCCCCACAGGAUCAGGCUGAGGCUGGGAUUUGCCUGAGCUCACACCUUGCUUUGUUUCCUUCCUGACCCUCCCCUGGCUCCCCAUCUCCUUACAUCAUUCUUCUGGGAGUACAUGCUCAAUAAAUGCCUUGCCAUACAACUCCAUCUCAGCUUCUGCUUCUAGAGAAUCUGACUUAGGACACCCACGGAUUCACCUAAGUUCCUUAAGAGAUGAGAGCCACUGUGCUGCUGGUGGCAGCUGCCUCCCCCCCAUGGAUGCAAAUGCUCUGCCCCGGCUGGUGCAAAUGCCUUUCUGCAUGCAGAGCCAUAGCCAGGCAAUAUUUGAGAGGAGGAAGACACCACAGAUGAAGCAGGGAAAGAAAAGGACCACACGACGCUCAGAGGUUGAAAGACGAUGCCAAAAUACUGGAAAAGGGGUUCAAGCUCAACUCACCUCCAGAUUUGUUAUGGGAUGUUCAAUGGGACUCCAUUUAAUCAAUUCAAGCUAGUCUGCCCCCCAAGAUGAAGUUUGGGCUGAGUUUUUUAUUCUUUCAAAGAAAACAUACCUGCGUAGCUCUUGUUUCUAGCCUGCUUGUUUGAAUUAAAGGCUUGCAGCAUUUUAGUUUAUGAUAUCUCUGGGGAGGAGUGACUAUGUCAGUAUAAUUAACUCAUCUGAUGAGAGAGGUCUUGUUUAUUUCCCCUACAAAAUACAGGUGGUGGUGAAGCUCCAAUGCAGUAUGGUGACAUGAAACACAUUUAGAAUAAAUCACACCAAAUAAAUAGGGAGGCAAAAGUGAUUUCAAGGUACAUUUUUUAUUGUUUUAAAUUAAGUUUUGAAAGUGAACAGCUGCAUACCAAAAAGCCACAAAGCUGUUACCCACCUCCAAUCUGCUCUUCUGAGAAAGGGUUAAUGGCACGCUCAAGUUCAGUUCACAAGGACUAACAGACUAACAGUGUUGUUUUCAAAUAAUUAUACAAAUAAUCUCUGGGUUUCUGAGAACCCUCUUUGGGCAUGAGGAAUGGCAGUCAAACCAGUUUGCAUGACCAGUUAAAAUAACCACACACAAUACAUUUUACCAAAUCCAUAAUGACAUUCAUUUAAUAAACAUGUAAGAGCAACACCAUGUGCUGGGCAAUAAGUAAAUAAAAACAAGACAAGAGGCUUUGCUUCUGGGAGCUCACAGUCUAAAGAAGUAUGGUCGAUAAAGAGGUAUUUCAGGGAUUAAAAUGGUAAAACAUAUUCUUCCUUCCUCCAAACACUUAAUGGAAUUCCAGAAAUUGAUUUGGUUUUGUUUGGGUUUCUGCUAUUAAAUGAAUCAUAAUACCAGAAAGCAAGUAUAAAAGACAAUGUCCUUAAACCAGAAAUGCAGAAGAAUCCCUGCUGUGCUGGGGAUGAGCAGAUUCAAUUGGAGAUGAUAGACCGGAGGAAACCUUGAGAAGGAAGAAGUGGUAAAAGGAUGAGGAAGAGAAAUGGAAAAUGAAAAAGUCCACAUGGGGAGAGCUUGAAGGGUUGAAAGGAAUAGCAAGGGCUGGGAAGAGGAGAAAGGGUGGCAACAGUGAGAAGACAGAGGGAGGCUGGACAGGACGGAUGAGACAACUUGUGUAAGCAGUGCUAGAGCCCCAGCAUCAAGGUCUACAAUUAAAGGAGCAAAAGGGCCCCAAACACACUGAAUAACAGCCCCCAAAGCUAUUUGAUCCUUGUUCCUGGACCCUGUACACGUUAUCUCAUACAGAAAAAAGUCCUUGUAAAUAUAGUUAAAAUCAAUGUCUUGAGAUGGGGAGAUUAUCUAGGAUUAUCCUGUUGUUUCCUAAAUGCAUCACAAGUGUCCUUAUAAGAGAAAGGCAGAGGGAGAUCUGACCCAUCACCAGAAGAGAAGACAAUGUGACCACAGGGGCAGAGAUUGCAGAAUGUAGAUCCAGAAUUUCUAUUGUUCCUCAUGAAGAAAUUCUAGAUGAAGAGAAAGGAAAUAAUAAUAUAAAAAUCUCCUAGAGGAAAAGAAAGAAAAAUAUACUUAACUGAAUGGGCCUUUGAACAUCAAGCAAGAUAAAAAUAAGUAAUAAUAAAAGACCCAUUCCUAUAUGCAUUAUGGUGAAACUUCAGAUAAAAAGACAGAAACUACUAUUCUGAAAAUACAUCAUACAGCUAAAAUAGUUCUACCUAAAAAGACUAAAAUUCUGAUUGUCAUUACUUUCCAUUGAUAACACUGUAGACUGGAAGAAAGUAGAAAGGGAAAGGGAAAAUAUUACAAACUUAGAAACUUGUAGCUAAUUCAAACUAGCACUCAAAUGUUUUCUGACAUAUAAAUCAGAAACUUUACCAUCCACAGAAUCUCUUUGAGUGUGUUGAAAUAUACUAUAGGAAAAUUACCAAAGAAUCUAUGCUAGAGGAAGAUGACAUACAAGGAGAGGGGAAGAAGUAAUGAUAAAACAUAGGUCAAUUUUAACAAUUAAUGAGUUAUCUAUAUAUCUUUAAUAAGAAUCUGGAACUGAAAUCCAAAAAAACCUACAUGGCAGGUUAAAAGGUAGGGCAGGUUAAAAGGUAGGGCUGGAGAUCAGGGUAAAUCAUGCUAAAGUUUUCCUCUUGUUCAUAGGGAAGAUAUAGUCAUCAGUUAACUCAAGAUGUGACUAGAAAAAAUAUAUCUUCAUAUGUAUGAGUUAAGAUUUAAAGAUAAAUAUCAGAAAAAUGUAGACAAGAUAUAUAACUGUGAAACUGCUCUAGAAAAAAAAUCAAAAUCAAAUAACUCCAAUCCACUAAUGAAAGUCAAAGUUUGAAAGAAAAAAAAUGUGAGUAAAAGGUAUAAUACACUGAUAUAUAAAUAUUCAAUUAAUAAAUGCAUGAGUUAACGCCAUUUAUGAAAAAUGCAGAUGUUUUAAAAUAAUAACCAUUAUAAUAGUACAUAGUAAUAGUAUGGGUGAAGAAAAAUAGGACAACAGAGGCUAAAAGAAAGACAAACACAGGACUAAAAGAAGUAUUUUUAAGAUGGCAGAGACUUUGGCCAAGGCAAAAUGCUGAUGAAAGGGAAUUGAUGGGGGAAAUGAAAUGAGAAAAGAAGUAACACAUACACUGAGGUCUCUGAAAGCUAGAAGAGGUUGGAUCCAACGUCAGUCAGAUGGAGGGAUUAGAAGGAAGAAGGCUCCAGACAGCUCAGAUUUACAAACUAUGACUGAAGUCAAUAACCAAGAUUCAUCUAGUAUCACCAUUCUGGGAGGGUUCUUUAUAAUAAUACAUUUUCUCAUCAAAACAUAAUGAAUAUUUAUUAUUGAGAAGUUUAAAAAGGCAAAUAUUACAAAGGGAAAUGAAAGUAUUUCCUAAAACACCACCAUCCAUUUUUCAUACACUGUUAUUUUAGGUAAAAAUCAAUCUAAUUCAAUCUUUUCAUUUUUUUUAAUGAGCAGAAUUGCUAAAUACAACCCAUCUUUUUAUUUCUUUAUGUUAUCAUCUUUCCAUUGAAUAAUUAAGAACACAGCUGUUCUGAUGGAACAAGAGCCGUAAUUUAAUUUUAUUAAAUCUUAACUGUGCUUGGUUUUCCAAGAGUAUUAAAAAGUACAAUUCCCGCUCAGCCCACAACAUCUCUUCUAAUACCACAGACGUUUUAGGCUUCUGCUGACAUAUGUCUCUCUCUGGAAUCAAGACCAAAAUUGGACCAAAGAGGUGUAAGUUCAGAGGCAAAUUUUCACACUCUGGCAAGAAUACUUGUCUCAAGGAAAAAUUAAUCUCAAAUGAACAUCAAUGAUAGAUGGAGCUCAAAAAUGUGAACUCUGGAGCCAAACCCUUUGGCUUUAAAUCGAAGCUCUACCCAUUUGAGUCCUCUUUUAGUGUGUGAAAGUUGAUAUUUAUGCUAGCAAAGAUCUGUUGAGUUCCUACUCUAUGCCAGGCCUAUAUCAAGUGUUUUUAUGGGCUGGGUCUUUGUUUAUUCCCUCAAGAAAUGUUUCUUUCAAAGAUGACACAAGCAGAUGGGAAGACAUACCAUACUCUUGGAUUGGCAGAAUCAGUAUUGUCAAAAUGACUAUACUGCCCAAGACAGUCUACACAUUCAAUGCAAUCUCUAACAAACUACCAAGGAUAUUUUUCACAGAACUAGAACAAAAUAUUUUAGUUUAUUUGGAAGCACAAAAGACCCUGAAUAGCCAAAGCCAUCCUGAGAAAGAAAAAUGGAGCUGGAGGAAUCAGGCGCCCGUACUUCAGACUAUACUACAA